AGAGUUUGAUCCUGGCUCAGGACGAACGCUGGCGGCGGGCUUAACACAUGCAAGUUGAAGGAGAAGCGAUUCCUUCGGGAAUUGUGGAGACUGGCGCACGGGUGAGUAACGCGUAGACAACCUGCCUAUAGCUGGGGGAUAACAUCGGGAAACCGGUGCUAAUACCGCAUGAUGCAGCGGGGCCGCAUGGCCACAGUUGUUAAAGGUGCCUUCGGGUGCGGCUAUAGAUGGGUCUGCGUGCCAUUAGCUGGUUGGUAGGGUAACGGCCUACCAAGGCGAUGAUGGCUAGGGGGUCUGAGAGGAUGAUCCCCCACACUGGGACUGAGACACGGCCCAGACUCCUACGGGAGGCAGCAGUGAGGAAUCUUGCGCAAUGGGGGAAACCCUGACGCAGCCACGCCGCGUGCCGGAAGACGGCCCUAUGGGUUGUAAACGGCUUUUGUUUGGGAAGAACUGUCCUGUUUCGAUGGGACUUGACGGUACCAAACGAAUAAGCACCGGCUAACUCCGUGCCAGCAGCCGCGGUAAUACGGAGGGUGCAAGCGUUGUCCGGAAUCAUUGGGUGUAAAGGGUGCGCAGGCGGGCACUUAAGUCGGGGGUGAAAUCUUGCCGCUUAACGGUAAAAUGGCCCCCGAUACUGGGUGUCUUGAAUCUGACA
rnacentral:rRNA from 1 species